rnacentral:pre_miRNA from 1 species
AGUGGAAUAACUGGGUCAAAUGGUGGUUCCAUUCCAAGUUUUUUGAGGACUCUCCUACUGCUUUCCAGAGUGGUUACACCAGUUGCAGUCCCAUCAGCAAU